UGGGGAAUAUUGGACAAUGGGCGCAAGCCUGAUCCAGCCAUGCCGCGUGAGUGAUGAAGGCCUUAGGGUUGUAAAGCUCUUUUUGGCGGGGACGAUAAUGACGGUACCCGCAGAAUAAGCCCCGGCUAACUUCGUGCCAGCAGCCGCGGUAAUACGAAGGGGGCUAGCGUUGUUCGGAAUCACUGGGCGUAAAGCGCACGUAGGCGGACCUUCAAGUCAGGGGUGAAAUCCCGGGGCUCAACCUCGGAACUGCCUUUGAUACUGUUGGUCUCGAGUCCGGAAGAGGUGGGUGGAAUUCCUAGUGUAGAGGUGAAAUUCGUAGAUAUUAGGAAGAACACCGGUGGCGAAGGCGGCCCACUGGUCCGGUACUGACGCUGAGGUGCGAAAGCGUGGGGAGCAAACAGGAUUAGAUACCCCCGUAGUCCCUGAGCGGGCUGGCAAGGCGCAU
rnacentral:rRNA from 1 species